rnacentral:rRNA from 1 species
AUUGAACGCUAGCGGGGUGCUUUACACAUGCAAGUCGAACGGAGUGGCGGACGGGUGAGUAAUAUAUCGGAACGUGCCCAAUAGCGGGGAUUAACUACUGGAAAGAGUGGCUAAUACCGCAAACUUUUGGAGCGGCCAUUAUCGGAUUAGCUAGUUGGUGGGGUAAAGGCUCACCAAGGCAAAGAUCCGUAGCGGGUUUCGGAGGACGACCAGCCACACUGGGACUGAGACACGGCCCAGACUCCUACGGGAGGCAGCAGUGGGGAAUUUUGGACAAUGGGGGAAACCCUGAUGCAGCCAUCCCGCGUGUAUGAUGAAGGCCUUCGGGUUGUAAAGUACUGUUGGCAGAGAAGCGGUAUCUGCAGAAUAAGCACCGGCUAACUACGUGCCAGCAGCCGCGGUAAUAC